CCUACGGGAGGCAGCAGUGAGGAAUAUUGGUCAAUGGCCGGAAGGCUGAACCAGCCAUGCCGCGUGAAGGUCAGUGCCCUAUGGGCGUUAAACUUCUUUUGUGCGGGAGCAAUAAUGGUCACGUGUGGCCAGACGAGAGUACCGUACGAAUAAGCAUCGGCUAACUCCGUGCCAGCAGCCGCGGUAAUACGGGGGAUGCAAGCGUUAUCCGGAUUUAUUGGGUUUAAAGGGUGCGUAGGCUGGGUGGUAAGUCAGCCGGGAAAUGCCCCCGCUCAACGGGGUGAAGUGCCAUUGAUACUGCCUUGCUGGAAUGCGGAUGCCGUGGGAGGAAUGUGUGGUGUAGCGGUGAAAUGCAUAGAUAUCACACAGAACACCGAUUGCGAAGGCAUCUCACGAAUCCGCGAUUGAUGCUGAUGCACGAAAGCGUGGGUAUCAAACAGGAUUAGAUACCCGGGUAGUC
rnacentral:rRNA from 1 species